CACCUCGCUGCUUGUCACGUCAGGGCUGACUACAACACAGCUCUUCAACCCUAAAUAAUCGGUCAUGCUCGCCUCUCAGGCGUCAUACAUCUAUUCAUGGGCUUCUCAAUGCAUUCCCCAUAGCCAGCUGUUGAUGGCAAAGAAUGCUUGAAGCAAGCAGGAUUGCAGCCCCUCAUGGGGAGGCAGGAUCUGUGCCCAAUCUCAAGGCACAGCCAAGCCUAGCCGCUUUGACCUGCCCGUUCCGGGGGGCCUGCCAGGUGCACUCAAGUUUUC
rnacentral:telomerase_RNA from 1 species